UUCAAGUUCUCUUGAGCUUCUUGCCUCUUCUUCCAAAUGCCAACACAAAAAUGAGUGACAAGUGGGUGUUCUGCUUCUCCCGCCACUUCUGAACAUUAGCUUAAUGUCAGCAGGGAGCUCUAUUGAUCUACUCUUGUGAUUACACUAUUCCCUGUCACUCAGAAACUCUUCAAUACCACAUUUAUUAUUCUUCGUUGGCAUAGGUGACGGCAGUGAUGUUGUCCUGAGGACUGAUUGCUAUGCCCAGAUGAUCUGUUGAAGUUGGCUGCCUGAUCCCACAUACAGCAUAAUUGAAGAGGAUGAGGAACAGAAUUCAUUCCCGUUUCACCCCAGUAACUAUGCCAAAUUCAACAGAGAGCUCUCCAUAUGGUCUAACACAAGUGAGAACGCGGUUUCUGGAUGAAAAACUGAGAACAGACUGACCCUCUGGCCACAGCAAUUCACGUCAGAGAUGCAGAGUUGCAGGGCCAUGAAGUUGAAGAGCACCAGAGGACACGUGACUCCCUUCAUGAUCUCUUGCUGAGGGUUUCGUGAAGAUUACAGCACCCAUCCUGGGCUAUCUCCUCAUUGAGGAAUCCAUGAGGCUAUAUCCUAUUUCCUGUGGGGAGUCAGGAGGAGAGAAAAUCAGAGACUGGGAGGAUGAUGACAACUAAUACUAGAGAAGGAAUUUUUUGGCCACUGGCAUAGAAAU